CACAAGCGGUGGAUGAUGUGGAUUAAUUCGAUGCAACGCGAAAAACCUUUACCUACCCUUGACAUGUCCGGAAUCCUGCAGAGAUGCGGGAGUGCCGAAAGGGAAUCGGAACACAGGUGCUGCAUGGCUGUCGUCAGCUCGUGUCGUGAGAUGUUGGGUUAAGUCCCGCAACGAGCGCAACCCUUAUCAUUAGUUGCUACGCAAGGGCACUCUAAUGAGACUGCCGGUGACAAACCGGAGGAAGUGGGGAUGACGUCAAGUCCUCAUGGCCCUUAUGGGUAGGGCUUCACACGUCAUACGAUGGUCGGUACAGAGGGUUGCCAAGCCGCGAGGUGGAGCCAAUCCCAGAAAGCCGAUCGUAGUCCGGAUUGUUCUCUGCAACUCGAGAGCAUGAAGUCGGAAUCGCUAGUAAUCGUGGAUCAGCAUGUCACGGUGGAUACGUUCCCGGGUCUU
rnacentral:rRNA from 1 species